GCACUGAUGAGGAGUCCCACAAUAGAACGAAACAGCCGUUCAGUAC
rnacentral:hammerhead_ribozyme from 1 species